UGACCUCGGAUCAGGUAGGAAUACCCGCUGAACUUAAGCAUAUCAAUAAGCGGAGGAA
rnacentral:rRNA from 25 species